rnacentral:rRNA from 1 species
AUACGGAGGGUACAAGCGUUACUCGGAAUCACUGGGCGUAAAGCGCGCGCAGGCGGGCUGAUAAGUUGGAUGUGAAAGCCUACGGCUCAACCGUAGAACUGCAUCCAAAACUGUCAGUCUAGAGUGUGGGAGAGGAAGAUGGAAUUAGUUGUGUAGGGGUAAAAUCCGUAGAGAUAACUAGGAAUACCAAAAGCGAAGGCAAUCUUCUGGAACACUACUGACGCUGAGGCGCGAAGGCGUGGGGAGCAAACAGGAUUAGAAACCCCAGUAGUCC